AUGGACACUGCACUACUCGAGGUCCUUGUUGAGCAUCACAACAAUGGCGAUCAUGCCCAGAAUGGAUGGAACUCCCAUGUCUACAGUGCUGUUAUAGGUAAUGUGCGUGAGAAAUGCUCUGUGACCAUCACAAAGGAAAACGUCAGUUCAAGGUACAAAACCUUUGAAAAGCACUACGAGGCCAUUAGCAAGAUGCUUUCUCAAAGUGGAUUUGGGUGGGAUUGGAUCAAUAACAAGCUGUCAACUGAUAGUGAAGAUGUGUGGCUUAAAUAUGUCGCGGCUAACAAGAAAGUAGGGCACUACAAGAACAAGGUCAUUAAGAAUUGGGAUGCUAUCACCACCAUAUACUCAAAAGAUCAUGCAAAUGGUGAAGGUGUUGUCACUGGUGCUGAAACUGUUGUAGAACCAACUACAGAACCCAAUGAAGACUCUCCUGAAGUGCCACAAAAAACAGCGAACCGGUGA
rnacentral:rRNA from 1 species